rnacentral:rRNA from 1 species
AUUGAACGCUGGCGGCAGGCUUAACACAUGCAAGUCGAGUGGAGAUGAGGUGCUUGCACCUUAUCUUAGCGGCGGACGGGUGAGUAAUGCUUAGGAAUCUGCCUAUUAGUGGGGGACAACAUUCCGAAAGGAAUGCUAAUACCGCAUACGCCCUACGAGGGAAAGCAGGGGAUCUUCGGACCUUGCGCUAAUAGAUGAGCCUAAGUCGGAUUAGCUAGUUGGUGGGGUAAAGGCCGACCAAGGCGACGAUCUGUAGCGGGUCUGAGAGGAUGAUCCGCCACACUGGGACUGAGACACGGCCCAGACUCCUACGGGAGGCAGCAGUGGGGAAUAUUGGACAAUGGGCGGAAGCCUGAUCCAGCCAUGCCGCGUGUGUGAAGAAGGCCUUUUGGUUGUAAAGCACUUUAAGCGAGGAGGAGGCUACCUGGAUUAAUACUCUAGGAUAGUGGACGUUACUCGCAGAAUAAGCACCGGCUAACUCUGUGCCAGCCGCCGCAGUAAGAC